AGUGAACGCUGGCGGUAGGCCUAACACAUGCAAGUCGAACGGCAGCACAGGAGAGCUUGCUCUCUGGGUGGCGAGUGGCGGACGGGUGAGGAAUACAUCGGAAUCUACUCUGUCGUGGGGGAUAACGUAGGGAAACUUACGCUAAUACCGCAUACGACCUACGGGUGAAAGCAGGGGAUCUUCGGACCUUGCGCGAUUGAAUGAGCCGAUGUCGGCUUAGCUAGUUGGCGGGGUAAGGGCCCACCAUGGCGACGAUCCGUAGCUGGUCUGAGAGGAUGAUCGGCCACACUGGAACUGAUGCACGGUCCAGACUCCUACGGGAGGAAGCAGUGGGGAAUAUUGGACCAUGGGCGCAAGCCUGAUCCAGCCAUACCGCGUGGGUGAAGAAGGCCUUCAGGUUGUAAAGCCCUUUUGUUGGGAAAGAAAUCCAGCUGGCUAAUACCCGGUUGGGAUGACGGUACCCACAGAAUAAGCACCGGCUAACUUCGUGCCAGCCGCCGCGGUAA
rnacentral:rRNA from 1 species